AAGUCGUAACAAGGUUUUGCUAAGCAACAGUCCUUCUGUAGCAGAGCUUAACGGAGACCUUGCACCCGAGAGGGGAGAGGCGACUAUAAAGAACUCUCAGCGCAAGUCAGCACUGCUGGCAACACAAUCGAAUUGCGGGGACGCUUUAAAGCUCACCAGUACCAACUGCUCUUCCAGGGCAGGGCUAGCCUAGCUAGAGGUCACAACCUGGUGGGAUGCUACAAUAAGCAAUCCGCAGCGGCUCAGCCGUCCACAGACUAAGUGGUUGUGGGUAGGAAUCCCCCUACUUAAGAUAUAGUCGGGCCCUGUGACAAGUCAUAGGGGCUUCUGCGUCCGUAGGUGAACCUGCGGAAGGAUCAUUACCCGAAAGGAUACCCUCGUGGUAUACCCCACCCGUGUCUAUCUACUCUUGUUGCUUUGGCAGGCCGUGGUCUUCCACUGUGGGCUCUGCCUGCAUGUGCCUGCCAGAGGACCAAACUCUGAAUUUUAGUGAUGUCUGAGUACUAUAUAAUAGUUAAAACUUUCAACAACGGAUCUCUUGGUUCUGGCAUCGAUGAAGAACGCAGCGAAAUGCGAUAAGUAAUGUGAAUUGCAGAAUUCAGUGAAUCAUCGAAUCUUUGAACGCACAUUGCGCCCUGUGGUAUUCCGCAGGGCAUGCCUGUUCGAGCGUCAUUACAACCAAAAUUAAGCCCAGCUUAGUGUUGGGGUUCGCAGUUCUGCGGCCCUUAAUAUCAGUGGCGGUGCCUGUAGGCUCUGAGCGUAGUAAUUCUUCUCGCUAUAGAGCCCUAUAAGUGUCUUGCCAGAACCCCCAUAUUUUUUCAGGUUGACCUCGGAUCAGGUAGGGAUACCCGCUGAACUUAA
rnacentral:rRNA from 1 species